AGAGUUUGAUCAUGGCUCAGAACGAACGCUGGCGGCAGGCCUAACACAUGCAAGUCGAGCGCACCUUCGGGUGAGCGGCGGACGGGUUAGUAACGCGUGGGAACGUGCCCAGAUCUGCGGAAUAGCCACUGGAAACGGUGAGUAAUACCGCAUACGCCCUUCGGGGGAAAGAUUUAUCGGAUUUGGAUCGGCCCGCGUUAGAUUAGGUAGUUGGUGGGGUAACGGCCUACCAAGCCUACGAUCUAUAGCUGGUUUUAGAGGAUGAUCAGCAACACUGGGACUGAGACACGGCCCAGACUCCUACGGGAGGCAGCAGUGGGGAAUCUUGGACAAUGGGCGCAAGCCUGAUCCAGCCAUGCCGCGUGAGUGAUGAAGGCCUUAGGGUCGUAAAGCUCUUUCGCCAGGGAUGAUAAUGACAGUACCUGGUAAAGAAACCCCGGCUAACUCCGUGCCAGCAGCCGCGGUAAUACGGAGGGGGUUAGCGUUGUUCGGAAUUACUGGGCGUAAAGCGCGCGCAGGCGGACCAGAAAGUUAGGGGUGAAAUCCCGGGGCUCAACCCCGGAACUGCCUCUAAAACUCCUGGUCUAGAGUUCGAGAGAGGUGAGUGGAAUUCCGAGUGUAGAGGUGAAAUUCGUAGAUAUUCGGANGAACACCAGUGGCGAAAGGCGGGCUCACUGGCUCGAUACUGACGCUGAGGUG
rnacentral:rRNA from 1 species